GUUUCCAUAGUGUAGUGGUAAUCACAUUUGCCUCACACGCGAAAGGUCUCUGGUUCGAAACCAGGUGGAUACA